rnacentral:lncRNA from 1 species
UUUUUUUUUUUUUUUUUUUUUUUGCUUUCUUACAAAUUAUCUUCCUGAAGCAGAGAAGUCAGACGUAGGUCUUUCCUGUAAGUUCUGGAACAGGCCUUUCAUUUUCUUCCAGCAAAGUCUUCCAGAGCCUGACGUCUUCUUUUUCUUUUGGGUACUAAACCUAAUGUUCUCAGUCUGAAUGGUAGAAAGAUUAUCUCUGUGCUAUUAUGGAAGAAAAUUGUGAUUAGAGUCUAAAUAAUGGAAGCCUUGGAUCAACUUAGAACGAGGAGUUAACAAAGAUGAAACUCUAUUGGCUUAAUAGCCCCAAGGAAUUAUCCUCCACACCAACAACUACUUCCUUCUUGCUCUGUGUAAUUCAGAACUGAGUUAAAAGAACUUGGCUUUCCACAAUAGUGUGUCAUUCAAAGAAUGACUUUUUCAAACAAUAUUUCAUUAUAUGACUAUUUUAAUUUUUCAUCAUUUUUGUCAUCAUUGUCUUUUUGCUUUAAUUCUGUACUGAGGUAAUUUCUCAAAGGGCACAAUUUUUAAAAAUCAAGUCAGAAAAUUGUACCUGAACUGUAAAAAAAAGUAAGCAAUUUUGAUGGGUGUUUGGCAGUUUUCCACUGUCUCCUUAUUUCCUGCUUUCAUUCAUUGGUGCUUUGCCCCUGCCUCUGAGGUCAUUUGAGACUUCCUUGUAAAGUGAGCUUCUUCAAAGGCUGCAUGGCUUCUGAUAUCAACAUAUUUUCCCCACAUUGCUUUUUCCUUCAAAUUCCAUCUUUUACCUCUACAUGUUUGCUUUCCUAAGUUAAAUAAAGAUAUGUACAUAAAGAAUAGCUUGCAUUUCUCUUAAAUUUAUAAUGCAGUGUGUUCUGAAUUCUUAGACUCCUUUCAUCAUGUCAUAUUGGUGUUUAUAAUUGACAUGAACAUAUAUUCUUUUAGAGAGUGGGCUUUGAAGUAAAAAUUCCUUGGUUCUGAGAGACUGAAUAAACCAAGGUACAAUGGCCAAACAAUACAUGAAAACAGAACUCUGACCCAAAACCUGCAGUAAUUAGACUAGGAAGCCAAGCCCCUACUUAGGUAGCAGUUGGCUCUAAACAGUCAAGACUUGAUCAAUAACGUCUACUUUCCCUAAUUCCGCCCCCCCAACCCAUUUCAGCAUAGGACAGAGAAAACCAACUAUGCUCCCUUCACCAAUCACAUAGUAUGUGCUCCCUUCUGGUCAGUCUGCUCCAACUUCUCCAUGUCAGCAUCCUCCAAUUAGAGCAUACUUGAAGCAUCCCACUUUCCAACUCCCCUGCCUGCCUUUGAGUCUCUGCCAGAUGCAAACGAUGAUAGCUUCUCCCUUUCUAGAGCAAGUUCUGAAUAAAUAGUGAUUGCUUUUUCUCCUUUGGGUGGUCUGCAUUUAUUUUCACUGUUCAAUCCUAUUACUGUCACUUAUGAGUUAUAUAACUUUUUGUAUGUUUCUUAACCUUGAUGAGUCAGUUUCCGCAUUCUAAGGGGAGAUGUUAGAAACACCUACCACAUAGAAUCAAAUCAGUGACUAAAAUGCAUGUAAAACUCCUAAAAAUUGUCUGGUAUGCUAUAAGCCCAUAAUAGGUCUCAUUAUUUUUAUCCAUUAUAUUUCUUUAUUAUUAGAUAUGAGGAAAUAAACUAAGAGAAUAAAAGACUUGCUUGAAGUCCAAAGAACUUAAAUGUCUGAGCUGGGUGCAAAGUCUGCUUUGUUUAAGUCUAGUGUUGCUUCUCCUAAUUCAAGAAAACUCUUCUUUCCAUGCAGAGUACAAUCAGCAGAUGUUUUCUAAAUGAAUGCAUGAAAGAAUAAGUAAUUGAGCAGACUACAUGGUUACAUAAGCUGCAAAUACAAGAAUGGAUAAGGGGACAAAUCAUUUAAUCAACCAAAAAAAAAAAAUGUAUGUGUCCAGAACCAAGCUGUUAAGUCUUAUAAGGAGGUAAAACGAUUUUAGACCUGGAAAGUAUAUUAGAGAUCAUUUAGUUGUAUAAUUUUCAAACUUUUUCAAACUCCACAACACAACUUUAGAAAGAAAAAAGUCACCACAGUAAUCCUUAAAUAGUAACAAAAUAAACUAAACUUUAAUCAUAAGUAAUUUUGGUUUUAAACGAAAGACUGAGAGAAAUUUUCAAUUCUUUCUUGAACUUGACUCUUCCUAUAAAUACUGUUUGUUAAAUAUCUACCACAUCAACCAUAAUGUCUAGGAGAUGGUUAAAUCAUGACCAAAAGAAGUCGCUGAAACACUUUAUUGAGACUUAAGCAUUUUAGCUUGGAUUCUCUCAAAAGCAGACCCUGGGACAAGGAUUUGUGUACAUGUAGAUUUGAGAGACAACCCCAGGAAAUACUUGAAGUAGUGGGGAGUGAGAUAGGAAAUAGAGUAGAGGCAAUAAAAGAUGUAUUGAUAAGCUUAUUAUUGUUAUGGGUAACCAGAGCUCAGUAAUUCUUUGAAAAAUCUGAGCGACAGUGAGAAAUGUCUACAGAUUUAUUCCCAUGAGGUGUAAGGAGACUGAGAUUUCAGCCCCUCUUGGAUUGAUGGGUGGUAGCUCCCAUGUACUCCUUGCAUCUCCUGCAGACUAGUGGCUCUCAGACCACAGGAGACCAUCUCCAGCCAGAAAGAGAUAGGAAGUGAUAGGUAUUCUUGGGAAUUGUCUGCCCACAAGCAACAGGAUAACCAAAGUGGUACAACUUGGGCAGGACAAUGUCUGCUGCACAAAACCUUAACUCAGAAGAAAUUUGUGUCUUUAUCAAAAUUAGUAAUAAUGUAUACCACAUCUUCUUUAUCCAUUCAUCUGUCAGUGAACAUUUAGGUUACUUCUAUUUCUUGGCUAUAAAAAUAAAUAGUAAAUAGUGCUGCAAUGAAUGUUAGGUGCAUGUAUCUUUUUGAAUCUUUUUAUUAUUAUACAAUGGAAUAGUACCAAGCCACAAAAAGGAUGAUAUAAUGCCAUUUGCAGCAACAUAGAUGGAUUGAGAAAUUCUGAAGUAAGUUAGACUGAGAAAGAGAAAUGUCAUAUGAUAUCUCUUAUUUGUGGAAUAUAAGAAAAUGAUACUUAUUUACAAAACAGAAAUAGACUCACAUAGAAAACAAACUUAUAGUUACCAAAGGGGAAAAGAGGGGAAGGGAUGAAUUAGGAGUUUAGGAUUAACAGACACAUAUUACUUUAUAUAAACUAGAUAAGCAACAAGGAGCUACACUCAAUAUUUUGUAAUAACCUAUAAGGGAAAAUAAUUUGAAAAAAAUUAGAUAUCUAUAUAUGUAUAACUGAAUCACUUUGCUGUACACCUGAACGUAACAGACCGUACAGUUGUAAAUUAACUAUACUUCAAUAACAAAAGAAAAAAACGGUAAUAUUAUAAAAGGCAAAUGAUAAACUAGAGAAAAAAUAUGACAAAUACUUCCAUUUUUCAUAUAUAAAUAAUAC